UACGUAGGGUCCGAGCGUUGUCCGGAGUUACUGGGCGUAAAGGGCGCGCAGGCGGCGGUGCUGGCCCGGCGUGAAAGCCCCCGGCUCAACCGGGGAGGGUCGUCGGGGACCGCACCGCUUGAGGGCGGUAGGGGCCGGUGGAAUGCCUGGUGUAGUGGUGAAAUGCGUAGAGAUCAGGCAGAACACCUGGGGCGAAGGCGGCCGGCUGGGCCGACCCUGACGCUGAGGCGCGAAAGCGUGGGUAGCAAACAGG
rnacentral:rRNA from 1 species